AGGUUACGAGCUCGAAUCUUCGUGAUUCCUGUCAUUCUUUUCGUUUCUGAGGCAUCUUGUGGAGGGUUGUGAGAUUUUAAUGAUUUUAUGGAAAACAUGUUAGAGAAUGCUGGUUAUGCUGUUCUAGUAUGCAUUUUAGAACUCCUCUACCAUAAAUAAAAGUGUAAUCAACAUUCAAAAACAUUUGUGGAGGAUUCAAGAUAUGAUUUCGACUAGCAUAAGUGUCAUAACUAGGCUGAACUUCAAAAUCGUCAAAAUUCUGGAAAAACAGCUGAUGAUGCCUUCAAGGCAGUGUUUUGAAAGGAGAAGCCUGGACGACUUAGGUGCUAUGGCAGAUCAACAAGUUCUCUGAAAAAAGAUGAGAAAAUUAACAAGAUAAAAUAAAAAGCAUGCUAAUGAAUCAGUUCUCUGAAGGAAGAAAUGAAUGAAAUGAGAGAUGAAAUGCUAUAUUUUUUUAGUCAAUUGCUGCAAAACAACUCUGGAUUGAAUGUUCAAGAUAUACCAAGGGUUGUUGGAUCUAACCUUGUUUCACCGGUUGAUGAAAGUAGCGCACAACCUCUAAGAGGCCGAAAUAUUCAAAAUUCUUAAGGGUCAACUCAUGAUCCAAUUCUUCAAAAGAAAAUUCGGGCUGGUUGUCUUGAAGUAGUGGUAGCAGAGGCUCUAAGGUCAUGCCUAUGGUUAGUGUGAUCAAUCCCAUGUUAAGCAUGAGUCAAGUGCCCCCCUUUGGUAACCCCUUCCUGCAAGAUAGUGGUUUUCUCCUGACAUCCCCCAUUCAUACCUCCAUGAACUUCAUCAGUAAGACCAACAUCAACAUCAAUAACAUGGAGGUGAUGGGGUAUUGAGAGAAUUGAGUCAAUACCUAUGAUCUUGUUAUUUUAGUUGGUUUUGACUUGUACCUUUUGCAUAGUAAUUUAUUUUGAGUGUCUGAUAGAGAUGACUCACUUUUUUUCUCUUGAAAUAUUUGGGUUCCAUGAUCUGUUGCAAUUCUACUGGUGCCCUCCAUAGCAGUAUCCUUGACUGGAUGUUCCUGCAUAUCUAGGUUAGUAAAAAUAUUAUGUGUGUGAAUUGUAGAUAACAUACCUGGUAGUGCUGGUGCCUGUUGCAUAUUAUCAUUUCAAUACUUCUGCUGGGGUGAGAAAGGUCUCCAUAUGGUCUUAGCAUGAUGUUGUUCUUGGCGUCUCGUUUGCUUCCUUUUUUAGGUCUGCCAGUGAUCUUCGUGGUCAGCUGUUUUUAGGUCCCAGUUGGUCUGUCCUACAUGUUUGUAGGUCAUUGUUGAUCUAUUAUGUUAUUUUUCUAUGUGUUUUGUGACUCUCUGUUUUUUCAUCCAUUGAGUCAUAUAGUGCACAAUUCUUGUUGUUUCAUCUAAGAGUUGGAUUACCAUCGUCUUAUACACCAUGGUGUUUUGAAAUGCUAAAGGUAGAAGUCUGGGAACGUAAAUCCAGAGAGUAAGUAUUGGUGUUGUAUAAUUAUCAUUUUUGUUCUUUUGAAAUGUUGAAGCCCCAAACUCUGAGAAAAUAAGUAUUCGUGUUGUUUAAUUGUCA